UUCCUCUUUUAGCUAUUUACUUCAACUUCUCUCGGUUUUGCUGUAGUUUGAAGGUGUGUUGUGUAUUCUUCAACCUCUCCUAUUUUAAAAUUAAUUCUUUCACCAAGUUGAAAAUAUGGUUCAAACUUUUGUCUCUUAAAUUUUAAGUAUUAGGCUCUAAAUAGAAGCACAAGCUUUUUCUCUAGUUUGGCUUGACUAGUGACAACUACAUCCAUGGAAAGAGGAAAAGAAAAAUGAGGAGAAAGAAGGGACUGGAAAGCAAAUAGCUCAUCGGUAUGUCAUACAACACGUUUUUUUUAAAAAAAAAAGUUGGCAUAUUCAACUUAGUCUGGUAAGUAUGUUCGUUUCUUUAUGGAGCUUAAUCAACUUCAACAUCUUAAUUAUGAUGAAAAAAAAUUCAUGUAGCUUCAACAAGAAAAAUGAAUUUCUUUUUCAUUGGGUUAAGUUGUUUUAAGGGCAGUGAUUCAAAUAGGGUAACGUAUAUCAUUUUUAUGCUUGGGUUUGAUGGGCAAAAUAGACAAUAGUGCUUAUAACAAUUUGAAAGUUGGACCAAACUCAACCUCAAAACUAGCUCAUAAGGUGAGAAUUGCCUAAGUUCAUAUAAGAAAAUCACCAGAUCAUUCUCCAACCAGCAAAGGACUCUUAACAGUGUUGAAAAUCAAAUGACUAUGUCCGUAUGUAUUCGUUUUUCAUUGAUUUUGGAUUAAAGUAUCUGGUCUAGGUAAUAUACUACUUCAGUGCUCUGAGUAACUAACUAGUAUGUGGAUGGACAGAUCAGUAGAAAUCUUUAUUGACAUGCUCUCUUUAUGAUUUAAGCUGUAACAGGACAAAUAUUUUGCUUAACUGUUAGGCUAUUUAUGGAGAAACUCCUCUGCGCCUGCGUUAGCUGCCUGUUGUAAUUUAGAGGAAAAUUUAUGAUGGGCAAUUUGAAACAACAUUUGGUGUUUUCGGCAG
rnacentral:lncRNA from 1 species